rnacentral:rRNA from 1 species
AGUUCGAUCAUGGCUCAGAUUGAACGCUGGCGGGAUGCUUUACACAUGCAAGUCGAACGGCAGCACGGACUUCGGUCUGGUGGCGAGUGGCGAACGGGUGAAGUAAUGUAUCGGAACGUGCCUAGUAGCGGGGGAUAACUACGCGAAAGCGUAGCUAAUACCGCAUACGCCCUUCGGGGAAAGCGGGGGACGCCGGGCCUCGCACUAAUAGAAGCGGCCGAUAUCGGAUUGGCUAAGUUGGUGGGGUAACGGCUCACCAAGGCGACGAUCCCAUGUAGCGGUUUUGAAGGACGACCAGCCACGGGACUGAGACACGGCCCAGACUCCUACAGGAGGCAGCAGUGGGGAAUUUUGGACAAUGAAGCCUGAUCCAGCCAUCCCGCGUGUGCGAUGAAGGCCUUCGGGUUGUAAACACUUUUGGCAGGAAAGAAACAGCACGGGAUAAUACCCCGUGCAACUGACGAAAACCUGCAGAAUAAGCACCGGCUAACUACGUGCCAGCAGCCGCGGUAAUACGUAGGGUGUAAGCGUUCAAUCGGAAUUACUGGGCGUAAAGCGUGCGCAGGCGGUUCGGAAAGAAAGAUGUGUCAGGCUUAACUUUGGAACUGCAUUUUUAACUACGAGCUAAGAGUGUGUCAGAGAGGAGGUGGAAUUCCGCGAUGUAGCAGUGAAAUGCGUAGAUAUGCGGAGGAACACCGAUGGCGAAGGCAGCCUCCUGGGAUAACGACGCUCAUGCACGAAAGCGGUAAGGAGCGGAAGGCUGAGUUCUGAUACCUGGUAGUCCACGCCUAAACGAUGUAAUGGCUGUUGGGGCCUUCGGGCCUUGGUAGCUCCGGCCACUGCAGGUACGGUCACAAGGUCAAAGGCUCAGGAACAAGGCGGGGACCCGCACAAGCGGUGGAUGAUGUGGAUUAAUUCGAUGCAACGCGAAAGGCCUUCACCCUACCCUUGACAUGUCUGGAAUCAGAGAUUUGGGAGUACUCGCAAGAGAACCGGAACACAGGUGCUGCAUGGCUGUCGUCAACUCGUGUCGUGAGAUGUUGGGUUAAGUCCUAGCAGGCGCAGCCCUUAUUAAGUAGUUGCUGAAAGGGCAUAAUGGGGCUGCCGAGUGACAAACCGGAGGAAGGUGGGGAUGACGUCAAGUCCUCAUAAGCCCUUAUGGGUGAACUGCACGUCGCCACAAUGGUGAUCAGGACAGAGGGUCGUAACCCGCAGGGGAGCCAAUCCCAGAAACCCGAUCGUAGUCCGGAUCGCAGUCUGCAACUCGACUGCGUGAAGUCAGAAUCGCCUAGUAAUCGCGGAUCAGCAUGUCGCGGUGAAUACGUUCCCGGGUCUUGUACACACCGCCCGUCACACCUUAGGAGUGGGGUUUACCAGAAGUAGUUAGCCUAACCGCAAGGAGGCGAUUACCACAGGCAAGGAUUCAUGACUAGGGUACUGAAGUGUGUCAAG